rnacentral:rRNA from 1 species
AUUAAACGCUGGCGGCAUGCCUCACACAUGCAAGUCGAACGGCAGCACGGGGCGAACCCUGGUGGCGAGUGGCGGACGGGUGAGUAAAGCAUCGGAACGUAUCCUGGAGUGGGGGAUAACGUAGCGAAAGUUACGCUAAUACCGCAUAUUCUGUGAGCAGGAAAGCAGGGAUCGCAAGACCUUGCGCUCUGGGAGCGGCCGAUGUCGGAUUAGCUAGUUGGUGGGGUAAAGGCCUACCAAGGCGACGAUCCGUAGCGGGUCUGAGAGGAUGAUCCGCCACACUGGGACUGAGACACGGCCCAGACUCCUACGGGAGGCAGCAGUGGGGAAUUUUUGGACAAUGGGCGGAAGCCUGAUCCAGCCAUGCCGCGUGAGUGAAGAAGGCCUCGGUUGU